rnacentral:rRNA from 1 species
UACGUAGGGUCCGAGCGUUGUCCGGAAUUAUUGGGCGUAAAGGGCUCGUAGGCGGUUCGUCACGUCGGGAGUGAAACUCGGGGCUUAACCCCGAGCCUGCUUCCGAUACGGGCAGACUAGAGGUAGGCAGGGGAGAGCGGAACUCCUGGUGUAGCGGUGGAAAUGCGCAGAUAUCAGGAGGAACACCGGUGGCGAAGGCGGAUCUCUGGGCCUACCUGACGCUGAGGCGCGAA